UUAACUGCCUUGUUCACUGGCAGAACGACAGAUUUUUUUUUACCUUGUCAGCUCAGGGAUUUGAUCCAGCAACCUUACUGGCCCAACGCUCUAACUACUAGGCUUCCUGGCGACCCCUACUUCGCAUUCCCACUAUGCACAUGGAAUAGGAAACUAUGUAAAUUAUAUUAAAUCAAAUGUAUUUAUAUAGCCCUUCUUACAUCAGCUGAUAUAUCAAAGUGCUGUGCAGAAACCCAGCCUAAAACCCCAAACAGCAAGCAAUGCAGGUGUAGAAGCACGGUGGCUAGGAACAACUCCCUAGAAAGGCCGGAACCAAGGAGGAAACCUAGAGAGGAACCAGGCUAUGAGGGGUGACCAGUCCUCUUCUGGGUGGAGGGGCAGUGAGUCAAAGCAGACGUUAUUGCCUCGCUAAAAAGUAUAACCUUCUCUAACGGAGGACUCAGCUCUCAAACUACAAAACCCAGGACAACUAACUGAACGUCGUGAAUGAUCUAGCUACGCACGGUAGUUAUUUGAUACGUGGAACGUCGGACAGAGACUUGCUCGUAGCUAAAUAUAGCCAUGGAUCAGAUGCAGGACGGGUGGGAGAAAUUUAAUAGGCGAAUAUCACAGCCAAUCACAACACUGUGGCUUGGCCAUCUAGUGGGAAAGGGAGAGGCUAUACGGACACGCCUGCUGGCCAAAUGAAUGACGUAUGUCGUGCAGCUGAAAGUCGUGGAGACGAUUGGAUUCGGGUUCAGUCAGGCGUCCUGAAGAGCCCUUCCCCACUUCCCAGCAAGCUAGUUUCUGUUCGCUAGUAACCAUAUAGGUGUCACCAUGACCAAUUAGCUAAUGUAACGACAAUCCGGUGUGAAUCAGUAGUGCAAUGGGGCUUUUCGGAGGUGCUUGAUAACAGCUUACAUGAUAAAUAACUUGUAAUAUUGGUAGUAUAUCAGGCCAGGGUGGAGUGCAUUUAUUGUAAUGAUUUUCACUGAAAAUGUUAAACUACGGCAUCAAUGUCUAUUAAAAUAAAUACAUACGAACAAUUACUCCGAUUUAAACACGCUUCCAAGUCCCAACUUCAACAGAGAAGUUUCAAAUUAUGGCUGAAGUUGCUACCCACAACUAAAAACUAGCUAGCUGGGAAGGGCUCAUCAGGACAGCUGAAUGAACAGAAUCUGUUUGUCUCCACUCAAAUCUCGCAGUAGAAACGCGAACGUCAACUAGCCUAUUGUAUAACCCAGGACAACUUUAGAGCUCCAU